UUACACAUUCAGGUACAAAAAUGACUAUUUAUCCAAAAUAUAAUUUAAUAUUCAUUUUCUCCCUUUUUUAAUCGUUGCAUGCAUAACAUUACAAUAAUCACUUGUAACGAUUAAAAAAAAGGAGAAAAGAUGAAGAUUAAAUUAUAUUUUG
rnacentral:pre_miRNA from 1 species